rnacentral:lncRNA from 7 species
GGUUUUGGCUCCUACCGCUCCAACACGGAUCCUUCCCAUGGUCUGCAGUUCUUUUGCAAGAACUGCACCAGCAUGGGUCCUUCAUGUGGAGUGCAGUCCUUCAAAAACAGAUGGCUUCAGCAUGGGUCACCCACCAACCCCAGUUCAAAAAACUGUUCCAGCCUGGGAUUUUCUCCACAGACAAAUGCUUCUGCCAGGAUCCUGCUCCUGCGUGGACUCUCCAUGGGCUGUACGGACUAACUUCUUCACCAUGGGCCUCUGCUGGGCAGCAGGGAAAAAUAUAUGCUUGGAGCACUUGCUGCCUUCCUUUUGUGCCAAGCUUGGUGGCUACAGGGCUAUUUCUCAUUUUCUCACCCCUCUGUCUCACAGCUGAGCUAUUCUUUCUUAACUAUGUUAUUACAGAGAUGUCACCAGUUUUGCUCAUGGGUUCAACUUUGGCCAGUUGUGGGUCCAUUUUGGAACUCACUACAACUAGUUGGAAACUGGGGCAGCUCCUCGUCUCUUCUUACAGUGGAUAUCCCUGAUACAUCCCACACUACAUUAAUCCUGCCACAGAAGCUGAACAUGCUUUCUCAGCUCCAGAAGAUUCAUAUAAAAUAUGUAUGUAGGUAUGUAUUUUUCCUGGCCACCAUAGUAGCAUAUGAAGGCUUUCAUUUGACGAGUGACUGCAAUGCUGUCAAGCCCUAGAUCACACUCUUAUGUUCUACAUUUUUUUCUGCUGCUGAGCUCUUGUGUUUGCCAGCACUGAAGUAAAAGUAGUGGGCAAAUUUUCAUAACCUACUGAUCUCCUUCAACGAGGAACAGACUAGUUUUAUGAAGAUGCAAGCUCUUCAGUUGAAAUGUAGCACAGAAGGGAAAAUUAUUAAAUCCAAAUAAAGACCUAUCUCCCAAGGUCAAAUGAUUUAUCAAGCUAUAUGCAUGAGAGCUCCAAGACCUAAGAAGAGAUUAAGUACAACUCCUAAAACAGCUUUGAGAUGAGAGUUCCCUGUUAAACUGUCAAAACAGGUCUCCUUUCCUUCUGCACAGAACUCAACAUCUAUUUCUCCUGUGUCCUCCCUGAUCCACCUCCAUCUGAUCCCUACACUGACCUUCAACUCCUGGAAGAAGACACAAAGUCAGCUAAGGCAGAUCGUUCCCCGAUGUACAGUGAUGGUGGUCCAGCCCACGCUUUUGAACAUUGUUUGAGGAAUUGGGCUUCAUCCAUACGGCAGUUUGAAAUGGACUAUCUAUAAUUGGAAUUUCUACUGAGCUGGGAAAUAUGCUGGUGAUGGUUUUAAAAAAGAGCAGAGAUAAGAAGGGAGCUGAGAUGCUUUAGUUGGUACCCUGUUAUCUCUAUGAACGGACCAAAGGUGGGUGUACUGUGGGGCCCUGGGGGGAAAGGAGACAGAUUGUCAAACAGAAUUUGCCAUUGCAAAAUAUUUUUCUUUAUCACAAUCAUCAGAGCAGAUUCAAAAUAGCUGUCACUUUAUGUUCAAAUAGACCUCUUC